rnacentral:lncRNA from 1 species
UAGAUUGCUUCCUUUGUCCAACGAUAUAAACAGAACUUGUCUUGGCUGUCAAGUAAUGGCCAGUGCGUAUGAAGUGAGCCACUACCUGCUGUCUUAACAUAGUCUGCAGAUUUCAUCCAUCUCUGAGAAUUUCCAUUGACCAAGUUAGUUGUCUAAAGCAGCAAUAAACUAAGGGAUAGUCACUUACUGUUUUGCUUGACGUUCAAACAAUGUGAUGUGAUCUUCCAUCAAUGUGUCCAAACCUAGCUUUAGCCUCCUCUGGUUUAAGCCUCUCUAGACCGAAUAAAGCAAUUUCGCAACUACUAUGAGACUGAUACCAUUUGCUUAAUGAGAGAGAAUAACUGAGAAACUGCAACUAGUAUCUAUCUGCAUCAUUUAAGUACUUAG